AUUGAACGCUGGCGGCAUGCCUAACACAUGCAAGUCGAACGAUGAUUAAGAGCUUGCUCUUAUUAUUAGUGUCGGACGGGUGAGUAAUGUAUAGGGAUCUGCCUGUUAGUGGGUGACAACAGCCUGAAACGGCUGCUAAUACCGCAUACUCUCUACGGAGGAAAGUGGGGGACCCUCGGGCCUCACGCUAACAGAUGAACCUAUAUUGGAUUAGCUAGUUGGUAGGGUAAAGGCCUACCAAGGCGACGAUCCAUAGCUGGUUUGAGAGAAUGAUCAGCCACACUGGGACUGAGACACGGCCAAGACUCCUACGGGAGGCAGCAGUGGGGAAUAUUGGACAAUGGGCGCAAGCCUGAUACAGCAAUGCCGCGUGUGUGAAGAAGGCCUUCGGGUUGUAAAGCACUUUAAGUUGGGAGGAAAAGCUGAGGGUUAAUAGCCUUUAGUGUUGACGUUACCAACAGAAUAAGCACCGGCUAACUCCGUG
rnacentral:rRNA from 1 species